UAAGCUCUUCAGGGCGGGGUGAAAGUCCCCACCGGCGGUAUAGCCCGCGAACCGUAAUGGUUGAUUCGGUGAAACUCCGAGGCCGACAGUAUAGUCUGGAUGAAAGAAGAUGAAC
rnacentral:ncRNA from 2 species